UGAUGCAAUGUGAGCCCCGGCUCUGGAUUAUGCCUCAGAUGAGCACAGAUGCCCCGCCGAUGGAUGACUCGAUUACGUUAUCGGAAUCUAAAAGGAAUGGACCUUAAUUCAAAAAUUUGGAGGUAAUUUCUGGAACCGCUGGAGCGUGAAAUAUCUUAAUCAUUUGCAGAACCGUUCAAAAUGGGAUCAAGUGAAAUCCAAUCUCAAGGCAGGACAACUAGUCUUGUUAAAGGAUAAAAACAAGACACCCAUGAAGUGGACACUAGUUUGCAUUGAGGAGACCUUUCCUGGUCCAGAUGGACUAGUACGAGUCGUAGACGUCAGAAGGAAUCUUUCGUCGAGCCGUCUCCAAUAUCAUUCCACUCCCAUUUCCAAAUGAUGUUGGACAAUCGUUCCAACGGGGCCGGGAUGUUUCGGUUUGACUAGAAACUUUCACUCUGCCGAUGUUCCGGUUUGAUUAGAAACAAACUUUUCUCUGCCUCGGAAUGGCAACAGUGAGAACUUGAUUAUGACGCAGCUCGAAUGCUGCUCAUGAGAUGUAACAUUAGAUUUGAUUCUAUAUUCUAGAUUAGAUUAAUUUGUUUAGUAUUUUAAUAAAUCUUUUUAAAACUA